rnacentral:lncRNA from 1 species
CAGGAGUUCGAUUCUCGAGCCGUUUUCCAUGUGAGUCCCGGAGCCACCAGACGUCCUCGUAUUGCCAGCUGAAGCAGGUGUGCGUGGAGUUGGAUCCUCGAGCCAGUGUCCCGUGUUAGUCCCGGCGCCGCCAGACCAUCGAGGCCGUCCCUCAAGCAACAAGGCGAUGGUGAGAAGCUCCAGCCGCAAUGGACGCCGCUGUCAUCCAGGGGUGCCGGUUCGAUAUCGGGGCCAAAGGAACGCG